GGCCAGGUGCUGGAAUGGUAGACAGGCUGGUCUCAAAAACCAGUGGUCAUAACAGACCGUGUGGGUUCGACUCCCACCCUGGCCA
rfam:Candidatus Woesebacteria bacterium RIFCSPLOWO2_01_FTLL_39_25 rifcsplowo2_01_scaffold_66, whole genome shotgun sequence.